GGGAUAUAGCUCAGUUGGUAGAGCUCCGCUCCUGCAAU
rnacentral:tRNA from 1 species